rnacentral:rRNA from 1 species
UGGGGAAUAUUGCGCAAUGGGCGAAAGCCUGACGCAGCAACGCCGCGUGAGGGAUGACGGCCUUCGGGUUGUAAACCUCUUUCAGCGCUGACGAAGCCUUCGGGUGACGGUAGGCGCAGAAGAAGCACCGGCUAACUACGUGCCAGCAGCCGCGGUAAUACGUAGGGUGCGAGCGUUGUCCGGAAUUAUUGGGCGUAAAGGGCUCGUAGGCGGCUUGUCACGUCUGCUGUGAAAGCCCGGGGCUUAACUCCGGGUCUGCAGUGGAUACGGGCAGGCUAGAGUCCGGCAGGGGAGACUGGAAUUCCUGGUGUAGCGGUGGAAUGCGCAGAUAUCAGGAGGAACACCGGUGGCGAAGGCGGGUCUCUGGGCCGGUACUGACGCUGAGGAGCGAAAGCGUGGGGAGCGAACA